UCGGGAAUUUUGGACAAUGGGCGCAAGCCUGAUCCAGCAAUGCCGCGUGAGUGAUGAAGGCCUUAGGGUUGUAAAGCUCUUUUACCAGGGAUGAUAAUGACAGUACCUGGAGAAUAAGUCCCGGCUAACUUCGUGCCAGCAGCCGCGGUAAUACGAAGGGGACUAGCGUUGUUCGGAAUCACUGGGCGUAAAGCGCACGUAGGCGGAUUUGUAAGUCAGGGGUGAAGUCCCGGGGCUCAACCUCGGAACUGCCUUUGAUACUGCGGAUCUCGAGUCCGAUAGAGGUGAGUGGAAUUCCUAGUGUAGAGGUGAAAUUCGUAGAUAUUAGGAAGAACACCGGUGGCGAAGGCGGCUCACUGGAUCGGUACUGACGCUGAGGUGCGAAAGCGUGGGGAGCAAACAGGAUUAGAUACCCUCGUAGUCCCUGAGCGGGCUGGCAAGGCGCAU
rnacentral:rRNA from 1 species